rnacentral:rRNA from 1 species
UACAGAGGUCUCAAGCGUUGUUCGGAUUCAUUGGGCGUAAAUGGUGCGUAGGCGGCGCGGUAAGUCGGGUGUGAAAUCUCGGAGCUUAACUCCGAAACUGCAUUCGAUACUGCCGUGCUUGAGGACUGGAGAGGAGACUGGAAUUUACGGUGUAGCGGUGAAAUGCGUAGAUAUCGUAAGGAAGACCAGUGGCGAAGGCAGCCCCCUGGGUCGACACUGACGCUCAGGCACGAAAGCGUGGGGAGCAAACAGG